rnacentral:rRNA from 1 species
AGCUCGUGCCGUGAGGUGUCGGGUUAAGUCCCAUAACGAGCGCAACCCUACCUUUAGUUGCCAUCAGGUAAUGCUGGGGACUCUAAAGGAACUGCCUACGCAAGUAGUGAGGAAGGCGGGGAUGACGUCAAAUCAGCACGGCCCUUACGUCCAGGGCUACACACGUGCUACAAUGGCCGAUACAGAGGGCAGCUACCUGGUGACAGGAUGCAAAUCUCCAAAGUCGGUCUCAGUUCGGAUCGGAGUCUGCAACCCGACUCCGUGAAGUUGGAUUCGCUAGUAAUCGCGCAUCAGCCAUGGCGCGGUGAAUACGUUCCCGGGCCUU